UAUUGGACAAUGGGCGCAAGCCUGAUCCAGCCAUGCCGCGUGAGUGAUGAAGGCCUUAGGGUUGUAAAGCUCUUUUAACGGGGAAGAUAAUGACGGUACCCGUAGAAUAAGCCCCGGCUAACUUCGUGCCAGCAGCCGCGGUAAUACGAAGGGGGCUAGCGUUGCUCGGAAUCACUGGGUGUAAAGCGCACGUAGGCGGAUUCUUAAGUCAGGGGUGAAAUCCCGGAGCUCAACUCCGGAACUGCCUCUGAUACUGAGAAUCUCGAGUUCGGGAGAGGUGAGUGGAACUGCGAGUGUAGAGGUGAAAUUCGUAGAUAUUCGCAAGAACACCAGUGGCGAAGGCGGCUCACUGGCCCGAUACUGACGCUGAGUGCGAA
rnacentral:rRNA from 1 species